ensembl:lncRNA
GCAUGGCGACACCGAGAGAAAUGCCAGAGAACUGGGUCCCUCAUGAUUAAGAUCCACAUCCUUUCCCAGAUCACAAAGCCAGAAAAAGAACCAGCCAUUCAUUGUGUGUUUUUCAAGACAGGAAAGCAAUGAGCAUGUCCAACGAACCACUGGUGAGUUUGCCAAUUAGUUUGUUAAUUCAGACCUAAAGCAAAAACCACUCACACUACGUGCUGACAUAAUUAGUAUCUCUCUAUCUCUCUCUCUUUCAGAGCAUAAUUGUUUCCCAACACCCCAGAGGGUUUCUUUAUCCCAAUACUGAGCGACCUUUACGCAAAUGCAAGUCAUGUGUGAGACAAGGGCCUGCUCUGAAACAUGCAUUAGAAGACUCACAAAGCCUUUGUGUGAAUCCACCCAUGCAGCAAAUAGAACAACGGCAGGUUUUUCCUUAUAGCGCACCAUCAGAAGAGCCAUGUCAGUGUCAGCCUGUCUAGGUCUAGGCUAUCUUCCCUCGGCACAACCAUUGCCACCUCUAUUACCCUGUGCUGUCAGGGUCAACAGUCAAAGGCACCUCUGUUCAUUCCUCUGUGCCACCGUGGUCCCCCAUUAUGUGUUGCUGGGACCCAGUUUCAGUCCAGGCCAUUUGUCACGUCCAACGAAUAACCCACAAUCACUUAAAGUCAAAAGAGGCAUUGUGCAUGGUUGGUUAGCAGUGACGAUCAAUGGAACUUUCUGUAAUGGUGUCUAGAGGGACAGGGUAUUGAUGCCAUAUCUGUUCGACUUCCUUCUCAACCCUCUUCUUAUUUUAAUAAGAAAUUAGUGUUUCAAGCAUGUACUAAUGUGCUUUGUCAGUGAAUAGACUGAGCUUUAAGUAAUCAUCACAGUGUUGACCUUGGGUGCAUUAUUGAAUUUUUUCAGGUAAACAUGAUAUACAAGUGCAAUCUGUCAAUGUGACCUUUUUAAAAGAUUUGUUUUUCAGUUUAUUUUCAAAAGCAUUCAUGUUAUACCAAGAAAAACAUCAGGAAUCAAAUCAAUAUUUUGCAUCCAUAUUAAGUCAAUAAAAUACACUCAGACCAACA